GCAGCGAUUGGUCAGAGCAUAGAUAUCUAUAGAAGACAGCGCGCUAGCGUAUCUAGUCUAUGUAUAUCUAUGGUCGGCACGUCUGGUAGCAUCUGUGGCUGCUGUUGAUCUUGUUUUUGGAGUAAAACACGGUGGAAGCUGAAUUAGUGAGGAUGACUCCUGCUCCUGUCAUCUCUAAGCUCCUCACACAUCUUUACCUGCACAUGAGGAAAAUCACUCCUGUAGAAUGCAGUGGUUCAUCAGAACCUCUGGGGUGUCCUGUGGAUUCUGUGGGUCCUGUGGGUUGCAGGGUGGGUCCUACCUAGACCAGGCUGAUCCUGGACCAUCCCACAGAUGCUCCAUCAGAUCUGGAUGUGGGGAGUGUGGAACCCAGAUGUUCAGAGGGAGAUGAUGCCACAUCUGGUCCAGCUGAUGGAAGGUCUUGAAGUUCUCUGACUGGCCUCGACUGAAGAUGGUCGUCUCACUGGAUUUAAGGUUCAGAUGCUCAGUAACAAACUCCAUCAAUGUGCCAACAGGGAAGCUUUAGGUUUAUUAAAUGUUGCUAUGAAGGUUUCGCUGUUUUUCUUUGUGAAUGCAAUGUGCUCCAACUGAAACUUGAAUUAGAACUUAGAAGUAAAUCCUUCCAUCUGCAUCAGCAGCUUUUCUAUCUCAGUUCAUUCUGACAUUCAGCUAUGAAUCAACACAGCAGAUGGUGAUCCAUGCUGUGGAAGUCUCACAUCUCCUGAUUUAAUGGAGCUGCUUUGCACUUUUUACACUGUUUAUUCACCAACACUUUAUUUAAUAAAAGUCCCAUCUAGUUUUUAUGAGGAAUGUGAUGUUUUAAUUUCUCUGUGAAUAACUGCAGUCUAAUGCAACAGCUGGAGUUGUAACAUCUGUCCUGAUAUUGAUCAUGAAGUAUUGAUCAGAAUACUUAUGGUGAGCAGUUAUCCCUUAAGUUUUACAUUAAAAUCUUUACUUGUGUUGUGAACUUUGGUAAGAAGCAGAAAUGUUAGCGUUGCCAUGGAUACAUGAGUGUUAAAUUCUGUCCAUGUUUCCAUUUUGGGAAAUUCAGUCCAGUUCCAGAAUGUGGAGGAAUUUAGUCUCACAAUCACAGACAACAAAUAUUAUCUGAAAGUUGGGUUAUUGUUGUUUAUCAGCACAAUACAAAAAGAUUAAUGUUAGAAAUAUUCCAGUUAAGUCUCUAGAAUAUCAUGAUUUAUGGAAAUUUACCUCAAUAAUAUGAAUGUUCAGGUCAAGAUUGUACAGUGAUAUUUAUUAUGUAAGUUUAGCUGAUUAAAGUUUAUGACUCUGCACUAAAAUAUUAUUUAAAUUGACAUCAUUAUUAUAAUAUUUAGGCUCAGACCCUACAGUAUUGAGAUUAAGAAAUCAAAUAUUCUAUAAAAUGUAAAUACACUGAACUCAUUUGGAUAUAUUUAAGUGAGACUCUACAAUAUUAUUUGACACAAAUCUAUCUAAAUCAAAAUUUUAAUAAUUUUCACACCAAACAUUUACUGGACUGAUUUAAAUAUUAAAAUCACUCCUUUCUAAUCCUCUGCUGUAUGUUCAAACCUGAGGCCUUAAAUAGAAACACACAAGUAUCUGUUUGAAGGAACUUCUGCAGAGUCCUGGUUCCAGAACAUGAUGAUAGAAUUAUAGACAAACUUUAACAAAAGCUGCCUGAGAGUUUACAGGUUUUUAUGUUGGAUUUCUUCAGUAAUUUAAUGAGAGUUAUCAGCAAUAUUCAAGUGUUCAUUUGAUGAACUUCAUUUCCUAAAACAUCCAGAAUUGAAGCUCAUAUCUUUGGCAGCUGUAAAGUUUCUGCUCCUUCAAAGUUCACAACACAAUGAAUUAAUUCCUAAAACACUCUCAAUGCUGGAGAGCGUUUGUGAUGCUGAAGCAGUGAUCAGUUUUUCUGUUUCUUCUCUGGAGAUGCACAAUGAGGGACGUCUGCAGAGACUGAGAAAGAGUCUCACCACAUCCUGACAUGAGGAAAAAGACUUUAUUGAAGACUACAAUGAGAAAAACUAUCAGACAGCAGACGGCUGCAUUCAAGGUGAGCUCUGAACAUUUGAUCUGGAACAGGAAUUCAAUAACGGCAGCAUGAGCUUCAUUUCAGUCUGGAGCUGCUGAAUUCAUGGAUGAAUCAUCUGGCACUAGAGAAGAAGACCAUCAAACAUCCACGUCAGCUGAUGGAGGUCCAAGAGUGUCACCAAACAAACAACCUACAGAGUGAAGACCUCCAAUCUGAUUGGACGGCCUCCUAUUCAGCCACAUGUGUGAACAAAUGCCUCUAAGCUGAUUUGUUUUCUAAAAUAAAUCUAGUUUGAGUCCUAAUCUAUGCCUGUGUGUUUGCUUCUUUAUGCUGCUGUUAACAGUUUAGGCUGUUAGAUUGUUCCAGAUAAGACAAGUACAAGAUUCUUCAGAGCCGUUCUACCACGAGCCUGACAGGAAGAACUCCAACAGCUACUGAAUGUUCCUGUGGUUCCCUCAAGGCUACAGGAGGAGUCCUACGAGGACGAGCCGGUCCACCUGAUGGCGGCCAGUCGCUGCAGUUCAAAGCCAACACCGACUACGUGGACUUCUACUGGACCACACGGAGGCCUUCAAACUGGACCAACAAGUUCAGCGACUCCCCGACUCGUGGGUCUGAGGACGCUGCCGAGCCUCGGCUCAGCCGGCCUCCUGUCUGUGGGUGUUUGAGUGCUGAGAGGUUUGUGGAUGCAUGUGAACGUGUCUGUGUUGAAACAGCAGCUUUGGACUCACUAACGCUGGGAAAAACCAAGAGCUCCUUUAUUUGUGACUUCCACUAAAAAGCUGAAGAAAAUAAGUUUGCCAGGGUUCUGACUGAUAACAGAUUAUUAAAUAAUGAAAAUAAUUGUUUAAGUAUUCCUUUAAACAAUCCUUUUAGGUCUACAUUUCCUUUACACUGACUUCUUGGUAUAUGUACAAGUAUUUUGGGUGGAAUAUACCAUUAAGCCCGAUGUUCAAGGGUUCUUCUGGGAAUAUACCAUUAAACCAACCUUUUAGGUAAAUGUUCCAGGAUGUUGGGUAGAAUAUACCAUCAGAUAAACCUUUUAGGUCUACAUUGGAAGAUUUUAGAGUAGAAUAUUAUUCCAAACCAUCCUUUAGGUCUACAUUUAAGGUGGAAUACUAGUUUACACCAAGAUUUUUUGGUCUACAUUGAAGGAUUUUAGGUGGAAUAUUCCUUUGAACGAACUUUUUAAGUUUAUGUUCAAGAAUGUUGGGUGGAAUAUACAUUCAGACCAACCUCGAAGGUCUACAGUAGUGAAUUUUAGGUGGAAUAUACCAUUAAACUCACCUUUUAGGUCUACAUUGGAGGAUUUUAGGUGGAAUUUUCUUCCAAACCGUCUUUUAGUCUACAUUUAAGGAUGUUUAGGAUGGUAUAUUCUUCCGAACCAACUUCUCAGGUCUACAUUUCAGGUGGAAUAUUCCUCCAUACUAACUUUUUUGGUCUACACUGAAGGAUUUUUUCUAAACCACCCUUUCGGGUCUAUAUUUGGGGUUUUAGGUGGAAUAUUCCUCCAUACUAACUUUUUUGGUCUACACUGAAGGAUUUUUUCUAAACCACCCUUUCGGGUCUAUAUUUGGGGUUUUAGGUGGAAUAUUCCUUUUAACCAGCCCCUCAGGUCUCUGAGGAUUUUGGAUGGAAUACUCGGUUAAACCAACAUUUUAGGUGCAUGUCCAAGGAUUUUUGGUGGAAUGUUCCUUUAAGGUCGAUGUUUUAGGACCUUGUAGGUGGAAUACUUCCUGAAACCAACCUUUUAGGUCAACAUUCAAAGAUUUAAGGUGGAAUAUUCCUUUAAACCAACCUAAAUUUCAUGUUUUGAUCAUUAUCAAGUGAGAAACCUCAAUCCAGACUCCUCAUAAUGACGUUUGAGAUUAAUGCUGCUGUUAUUUGUUUAGUCCAGACAAAAUGACAGAAAUCCACAACUGUAAUUUUAUUUCAGGACUCGGUUAUUAAAUGUCAAAACAAUCCAUGUGACUCUAAAAACUCAACAGCUGUACAAACUCUAAGAUUAAACUCUCCACAAGGAUCCAAAAUAAGUUGGACUUCUACAUGAGAGCUUUAAUUAUUCUUCAUCUACUUCCUAAAAUGUUUGGU